UCCGGUGCCCCUGGGGGCUCCUUCUUAUCCGAAGCCGCCUCUCUCCUUGCUUUUCCCCCACCCAGUCCCGCCGCUCGCCUCCUCUUCUUGCUCUUCUUCGCUUCCUCUCCAGAUCUCGUCUGGGUUGACCUUGCGACAGCCAUGGCCCUCGUUCGUGCCGCUGCUGGUUGAGGGAUCUUCAGCACCGGUUGAUUGUUCUUGGAAGGUACUGGCGUCGUCCCGUGCUUUCUAGGAGAUGGCUCAGAACCAGCAGAUGGGUUUCACCCCGCUUUCUGAGCUUACCCAAGGCAACACACGCUGGUCAGUGCGUGUGUAUGUGUCACGCCUAUGGCACCACCGUGGUGGUACUGACAAUGGACCUAUUAAACAUACGGACAUGGUUUUUCUUGAUGCUGAGGGGAAUCAUAUGUAUGCAGAGGUUCCAGAGA